rnacentral:lncRNA from 1 species
GUUUUGAUAUUAUACUUGGUAUGGAUUGACUAUCUUCCUAUCAUACCAGUAUGGAUUGGUAUAUAACAAAUGAUCACUUUUUGCAUAUUAGAUCAGCCCAUCCUUUAUUUUGAAAGUAUUGAACAUGAUUUAUCUCCUUGCCUAAUGUAUCCCAGGAUGAUUUGCCUGAAUGACCUCCAAAACGUGACUUUGCUUUUGAUUUGGUCUUUGGGACAAUCCCAAUAUCUAAG